AGUCGUAACAAGGUUUCCGUAGGUGAACCUGCGGAAGGAUCAUUAGUGAUUGCCUUUAUAGGCUUAUAACUAUAUCCACUUACACCUGUGAACUGUUCUACUACUUGACGCAAGUCGAGUAUUUUUACAAACAAUGUGUAAUGAACGUCGUUUUAUUAUAACAAAAUAAAACUUUCAACAACGGAUCUCUUGGCUCUCGCAUCGAUGAAGAACGCAGCGAAUUGCGAUAAGUAAUGUGAAUUGCAGAAUUCAGUGAAUCAUCGAAUCUUUGAACGCAGCUUGCGCUCUCUGGUAUUCCGGAGAGCAUGCCUGUUUCAGUGUCAUGAAAUCUCAACCACUAGGGUUUCCUAAUGGAUUGGAUUUGGGCGUCUGCGAUUUCUGAUCGCUCGCCUUAAAAGAGUUAGCAAGUUUGACAUUAAUGUCUGGUGUAAUAAGUUUCACUGGGUCCAUUGUGUUGAAGCGUGCUUCUAAUCGUCCGCAAGGACAAUUACUUUGACUCUGGCCUGAAAUCAGGUAGGACUACCCGCUGAACUUAAGCAUAUCAAUAAGCGGAGGA
rnacentral:misc_RNA from 1 species